rnacentral:rRNA from 1 species
CCUACGGGUGGCAGCAGUGGGGAAUAUUGCACAAUGGGGGAAACCCUGAUGCAGCAACGCCGCGUGAGUGAAGAAGGUUUUCGGAUUGUAAAGCUCUGUUAGCAGGGAAGAGGAAGGACGGUACCUGCAGAGGAAGCCACGGCUAACUACGUGCCAGCAGCCGCGGUAAUACGUAGGUGGCAAGCGUUGUUCGGAAUAACUGGGCGUAAAGCGCUCGUAGGCGGUAUGUCAAGUCAAGGGUGAAAUCCCCGCGCUCAACGUGGGAACUGCCUGUGAAACUGGCAAACUGGAGUGUGUGAGAGGAUGGUGGAAUUCCAGGUGUAGGAGUGAAAUGCGUAGAUAUCUGGAGGAACAUCAGUGGCGAAGGCGACUAUCUGGCACAUAACUGACGCUGAGGAGCGAAAGCGUGGGUAGCAAACAGGAUUAGAUACCCUUGUAGUC